AAAGACGUACAGACCGGAUGUCAAGGCUGCUGUGAGGCAAAGACCAGAGUUAUUUAGCCAUGCUUAAAUCUCUCAGAGGACGUUAAAUGUCAUGCCUGAUUAAAACCUUAUGACAGCA